UUCUGAAGAGCAAGAGAUUGCCAGACUGCUGAGUCAUUUACUUGAUUAUGACCUAGUGUGCCAGGUCCUGGUGAAUAUACCUCCGACCUCUUCCUGGAGCCAAGCACUUUGAAUAUACUGGCCCACUGCCUUCUGGUCUCAAAAGUUUCAGGUGAGAAAUUUGCUGUUAAUCUUACUCAGAAUACUCUUGUGUGUCAUAAGUCACUUCUCUGUUGCUGCUCUUAAGAGUCUCUCUUUAUGUUUCAAAAACUUAACUAUAACAUGUCUUAGUAUGGGUCUUUUUCAUCUUACUUAGAGUUUGUUAAGCUUGGAUAUUUAUAUUCAUGUCUUUGGUCAAAUUUGGAAAAAUUCCAGUUACUAUUUCUUCAUAUAUUCUCUAUUCUCCUUUCUUUCUCUCUUAUUCUUCUUGGACUCCAACAAUGUGUACAUUGAUCUUGAUGGUGUCCCACAAGUCUUUUUAGGCUCUGUUUACUUUUCUCAAUAUUUUAUUUCUGUGUUCCUCAGACUCAAUAAUUUUCAUUGUCCUAUCUUUAAGUUUACUGAUUCUUUCUUCUUCCUGCUCAAAUGUGACUGUAAAUCACCCUAGUAAAAUUUUCAUUUCAGGUAUUGUAUUUUUGGCUUUAGAAUUUUUUUGUUUCUUUUUAGGUGUUCUAUUUAUUGAUAUUACCAUUUGUUCAUACAUCUUUUACUUGACUUAAUAUCUUUCUUUAGUUUUUUGAACAUCUUUAAAGAGAGUUGUUUUAAAUUCUUUGUCUAGUAGAUCUGCCAUCAGGUCUUUUCUAGGAGCAGUUCCUGUUAAUUUAUUUAUUUUUCCUUUCAACGGGCCAUACUUUCCUGUUUCUUUCUUUGCCUUAUGACUUUUUGUUGAAAACUGGACAUUUGAAUCUAAGAAUGUGAUAACUCUGGAAAUCAGAGUUUCCUCCUUCCUUACGGUUUGGUGGUGGUGUUUUUGUCUUUAAUUUUUUAGGCGACUCUGUGCCAAGCAUCAGCAUGAGGUGUAAACUUCAGGUCUUCUCAGGUGUUUUCUGAGCCUGUUUCUUUCCCUGGGUAUGUGCAGUCACUUUCUAAUUUUCCUUGUAUAUGCAGUUGCUUUUGAGUGUCUUAGUCUUUAAUGUCUGGCUCCCAAAGAAGGAAAGAGAGAAAAGCGAAGGGGGAGGAGGAGUGCGGGCUCUUCAAAUUAUCUGGAAAUCACUUCAGCUGGUGGUGGAGGGGAUUGCAGCGGUGGGGAGAGGUGCAACA